GUGGGGACGCCUCGGUAGAGAAGACG
rnacentral:piRNA from 1 species